rnacentral:rRNA from 1 species
UAUCCUGUCUGAAUAUGGGGGGACCAUCCUCCAAGGCUAAAUACUCCUGACUGACCGAUAGUGAACCAGUACCGUGAGGGAAAGGCGAAAAGAACCCCGGCGAGGGGAGUGAAAAAGAACCUGAAACCGUGUACGUACAAGCAGUGGGAGCACAGGUUUACCUGUGUGACUGCGUACCUUUUGUAUAAUGGGUCAGCGACUUAUAUUCUGUAGCAAGGUUAACCGAAUAGGGGAGCCGCAGGGAAACCGAGUCUUAACCGGGCGUUAAGUUGCAGGGUAUAGACCCGAAACCCGGUGAUCUAGCCAUGGGCAGGUUGAAGGUUGGGUAACACUAACUGGAGGACCGAACCGACUAAUGUUGAAAAAUUAGCGGAUGACCUGUGGCUGGGGGUGAAAGGCCAAUCAAACCGGGAGAUAGCUGGUUCUCCCCGAAAGCUAUUUAGGUAGCGCCUCGUGAACUCAUCUCCGGGGGUAGAGCACUGUUUCGGCUAGGGGGUCAUCCCGACUUACCAACCCGAUGCAAACUGCGAAUACCGGAGAAUGUUAUCACGGGAGACACACGGCGGGUGCUAACGUCCGUCGUGAAGAGGGAAACAACCCAGACCGCCAGCUAAGGUCCCAAAGUCAUGGUUAAGUGGGAAACGAUGUGGGAAGGCCCAGACAGCCAGGAUGUUGGCUUAGAAGCAGCCAUCAUUUAAAGAAAGCGUAAUAGCUCACUGGUCGAGUCGGCCUGCGCGGAAGAUGUAACGGGGCUAAACCAUGCACCGAAGCUGCGGCAGCGAC